rnacentral:miRNA from 1 species
GCUCUGCGCAGCUCUCACUUUGCUUGCCCAUCCCUCCUCCCGCCUCCCUGUAAAAGAGGAGGAGGAGACACUGGGACAGGUGCUUUGCUUGCUUUACAGUGAGGUGGGAGGAGAGAUGGGCAAGCAAAGUGAGAGCUGCGCAGAGCGG